UGGGGAAUAUUGCACAAUGGGCGCAAGCCUGAUGCAGCCAUGCCGCGUGUGUGAAGAAGGCCUUCGGGUUGUAAAGCACUUUCAGCGAGGAGGAAGGUGGUGAGCUUAAUACGCUCAUCAAUUGACGUUACUCGCAGAAGAAGCACCGGCUAACUCCGUGCCAGCAGCCGCGGUAAUACGGAGGGUGCAAGCGUUAAUCGGAAUUACUGGGCGUAAAGCGCACGCAGGCGGUUUGUUAAGUCAGAUGUGAAAUCCCCGGGCUCAACCUGGGAACUGCAUUUGAAACUGGCAAGCUAGAGUCUCGUAGAGGGGGGUAGAAUUCCAGGUGUAGCGGUGAAAUGCGUAGAGAUCUGGAGGAAUACCGGUGGCGAAGGCGGCCCCCUGGACGAAGACUGACGCUCAGGUGCGAAAGCGUGGGGAGCAAAACAGGAUUAGAUACCCUGGUAGUCCACGCUGUAAAACGAUGUCGAUUUUGGAGGUUGUGCCCUUGAGGCGUGGCUUCCGGAGCUAACGCGUUAAAUCGACCGCCUGGGGAGUACGGCCGCAAGGUU
rnacentral:rRNA from 1 species